UGCAGUCGAACGGUAACAGGGAGAAAGCUUGCUUUCUUGCUGACGAGUGGCGGACGGGUGAGUAAUGCUUGGGAAUCUGGCUUAUGGAGGGGGAUAACGACGGGAAACUGUCGCUAAUACCGCGUAGAGUCGAGAGACGAAAGUGCGGGACCGCAAGGCCGCAUGCCAUGAGAUGAGCCCAAGUGGGAUUAGGUAGUUGGUGGGGUAAAGGCCUACCAAGCCGACGAUCUCUAGCUGGUCUGAGAGGAUGACCAGCCACACCGGGACUGAGACACGGCCCGGACUCCUACGGGAGGCAGCAGUGGGGAAUAUUGCGCAAUGGGGGCAACCCUGACGCAGCCAUGCCGCGUGAAUGAAGAAGGCCUUCGGGUUGUAAAGUUCUUUCGGUGACGAGGAAGGUUGUUGUGUUAAUAGCGCGACAAAUUGACGUUAAUCACAGAAGAAGCACCGGCUAACUCCGUGCCAGCAGCCGCGGUAAUACGGAGGGUGCGAGCGUUAAUCGGAAUAACUGGGCGUAAAGGGCACGCAGGCGGCUAUUUAAGUGAGGUGUGAAAUCCCCGGGCUUAACCUGGGAAUUGCAUUUCAGACUGGGUAGCUAGAGUACUUUAGGGAGGGGUAGAAUUCCACGUGUAGCGGUGAAAUGCGUAGAGAUGUGGAGGAAUACCGAAGGCGAAGGCAGCCCCUUGGGAAUGUACUGACGCUCAUGUGCGAAAGCGUGGGGAGCAAACAGGAUUAGAUACCCUGGUAGUCCACGCUGUAAACGCUGUCGAUUUGGGGAUUGGGCUUUAAGCUUGGUGCCCGUAGCUAACGUGAUAAAUCGACCGC
rnacentral:rRNA from 1 species